rnacentral:rRNA from 1 species
UAGUCCACGCCGUAAACGAUGGUCACUCGAUAUAUGCCCCAUUGGGGGUGUGUGUCCUAGCGAAAGCGUUAAGUGACCCACCUGGGGAGUACGUUCGCAAGAAUAAAACUUAAAGGAAUUGACGGGGUCCGCACAAGCGGUGGAGCAUGCGGUUUAAUUCGAAGCAACACGAAGAACCUUACCAGCUUUUGACAUGAGAAUUAGGGGGUUUUAGAGAUAAAGCCCGUCGGUUCGGCCGGAUUCUACACAGGUGCUGCAUGGCUGUCGUCAGCUCGUGUCGUGAGAUGUUGGGUUAAGUCCCGCAACGAGCGCAACCCUCAUCCUUAGUUGCCAUCAGGUUUGGCUGGGGACUCUAAGGAAACUGCCGGUGAUAAGCCGGAGGAAGGUGAGGAUGACGUCAGGUCCUCAUGGCCCUUACGGGCUGGGCUACACGCGUGCUACAAUGGCGGCUACAAUGGGAUGCAAUAGGGUGACCUGGAGCUAAUCCUCAAAGGCCGUCUCAGUUCGGAUUGUCU